GAUGAACGCUGGCGGCGUGCCUAAUACAUGCAAGUCGAGCGAACGGACGAGAAGCUUGCUUCUCUGAUGUUAGCGGCGGACGGGUGAGUAACACGUGGAUAACCUACCUAUAAGACUGGGAUAACUUCGGGAAACCGGAGCUAAUACCGGAUGAUAUUUUGAACCGCAUGGCUCAAAAGUGAAAGACGGUCUUGCUGUCACUUAUAGAUGGAUCCGCGCUGCAUUAGCUAGUUGGUAAGGUAACGGCUUACCAAGGCAACGAUGCAUAGCCGACCUGAGAGGGUGAUCGGCCACACUGGAACUGAGACACGGUCCAGACUCCUACGGGAGGCAGCAGUAGGGAAUCUUCCGCAAUGGGCGAAGGCCUGACGGAGCAACGCCGCGUGAGUGAUGAAGGUCUUCGGAUCGUAAAACUCUGUUAUUAGGGAAGAACAUAUGUGUAAGUAACUGUGCACAUCUUGACGGUACCUAAUCAGAAAGCCACGGCUAACUACGUG
rnacentral:rRNA from 1 species